AAGUGUGCAGCUGGAUUAAUCGUGUAUGUAGAUAAGAUAUGCCGCUGUUCCUUGAUAAGCUAAUAUGGUUACGAAGGUAUACCGCCGUAUCCUGGGUGCUUCAGUUUAGUACUCCACAGAUGGUUGCAAUUCAACUGCGUCUAGGUAGGCCUAAACCCGUGUAACAUAGCAAACUAACAUAUAGGUACUGCAGCAUAAACAGCGUUUCAACGCCUAUUACAAUAUAUUAAGUAAGCACCGUAAGGCUGUGAUAGGUCAUAGCCGUUUGUCUCUUAACUGCGUCUAAUUAAUUAUGGCAUAGGCCUGCAACAACAAUGAAUGCAAAAGAAAUGGAAAUCAAUUGUAAGAACU